AUUGAACGCUGGCGGAAUGCUUUACACAUGCAAGUCGAGCGGCAGCGCGGGGCAACCUGGCGGCGAGCGGCGAACGGGUGAGUAAUACAUCGGAACGUACCCAGUUGUGGGGGAUAGCCCGGCGAAAGCCGGAUUAAUACCGCAUACGACCUGACGGUGAAAGGGGGGGAUCGCAAGACCUCUCGCAGUUGGAGCGGCCGAUGGCGGAUUAGCUAGUUGGUGAGGUAAAGGCUCACCAAGGCGACGAUCCGUAGCGGGUCUGAGAGGACGACCCGCCACACUGGAACUGAGACACGGUCCAGACCCCUACGGGAGGCAGCAGUGGGGAAUUUUGGACAAUGGGGGCAACCCUGAUCCAGCCAUUCCGCGUGAGUGAAGAAGGCCUUCGGGUUGUAAAGCUCUUUCGGCAGGAACGAAACGGUCUUUUCUAAUACAAGGGGCUAAUGACGGUACCUGAAGAAGAAGCACCGGCUAACUACGUGCCAGCAGCCGCCGUAACAC
rnacentral:rRNA from 1 species